AUUGAACGCUGGCGGAAUGCUUUACACAUGCAAGUCGAACGGCAGCACGGACUUCGGUCUGGUGGCGAGUGGCGAACGGGUGAGUAACAUAUCGGAACGUAUCCAAUAAUGGGGGAUAACUAAUCGAAAGGCUGACUAAUACCGCAUACGCCCUACGGGGGAAAGCAGGGGAUCUUCGGACCUUGCGUUAAUGGAGCGGCUGAUAUCUGAUUAGCUAGUUGGUGAGGUAAAGGCUCACCAAGGCGACGAUCAGUAGCUGGUCUGAGAGGACGACCAGCCACACUGGAACUGAGACACGGUCCAGACUCCUACGGGAGGCAGCAGUGGGGAAUUUUGGACAAUGGGCGAAAGCCUGAUCCAGCCAUUCCGCGUGCAGGAUGAAGGCCCUCGGGUUGUAAACUGCUUUUGUACAGAACGAAAAGGUUUCUACUAAUACUAGGAGCUCAUGACGGUACUGUAAGAAUAAGCACCGGCUAACUACGUGCCAGCCGCCGCUGUAA
rnacentral:rRNA from 1 species